GUGCUCACUUUGGCAGCAGAUAAAAUGGGAGUGAUACAGAGAAUUAGAUGAUCCCUGUGCAAGGAUGACCCACAAAUUCACGAAGCAUUCCCUAUUGUU
rnacentral:snRNA from 1 species